GCAAUCUUGUGUGUGGAGAAGAGAGCAAUGGCCUCGACUUCUCUCUCCGUACCCGUUCCCACCAGACUCAGACCCUUCAACUCCUCUAACCCUAAUCCCAGAUUCCCAACUUCGUCAGCUUCCUUCAAGUUCUUCGCUUCUUCUCUCAAGCCAUCGACGCCGGUCGAACAUGGGUCCGCCGACCACUUUCUUCAGAACAAUUCCAUUGCUGAUUUUAUGAGAUUCAAAAAAGGGAUACUUGGAGGGAGCAACGGCGAGUUGCAGACGGCUGUUGUCACUUACAGAAAGAAGUUCCCUUGGUCUCUUCUUCAACCCUUUCUUCAGGUGCCUUUUAUUUUAUUUUAUUUUUUCAAAUUAUAAUUAUGCCAUUUUUCUUUCCCUUUAUUCAAGUGCUUUUUUCUGUUCUUUUGUUUUUAAUUAUGGGUUUUUUCCUUUAUAUAUCUUCUUCAGGUUGAUUUGGUCUCUACGAUUCACAUUGCGGACAAAGAGUAUGUCUGCUCACUAGAAUUUGGACCGGUUUUCCAUUUUUCUAGUUUGAUUUCUUCUCUCCUGCCUCUUUUUUCUGUUAUGAAUUUAUUAUAUUUUCAUUUUCGACUUGGAGUGUGGUGGGUUCGUGGUAAUACCAGAAGUUAAUGGUUUGCUUCAUCUGGCAUUCUCAAUAUGACACGCAAGAGCAGAAAUUUGUCAAAUUAUUAAUAUAUGGCUCUGUAUCUGGUGCUUUCUAGGAAGUAUACAGCAAAGAUGAUUGAAUGGAUGGUCUGAACUUAGGAUGGUUGUACAGUUUUGAAUCUUUUGAUAGUUCGGUUAUAAUGUUUGUUUAAUUAGUUUCCUUCUGAAUUGGAUUAUAUCAGCUCAUUUAUGAAGAAUGUAGUUUUUUUGGUUUUUAGGUCUCCAAGUUCUUUUCCAGGUCAUGGGUGAUGACAGCUCUGAGCUUAUUGUUAAUUCAAGAUGACAUUAGUAUCAUCACUAAUAAUGAAAUGAUUGUUGGUAAAGUAAAACCCCAUAAAUCUUCCUUCUCUCCUGACUCCAAUCUCAGAGCCUCAAAUGCUGACUUUCUCUCUAUAUUUUUCCUUCCUUUGGAAUACUUUUCUGAACUCAUUUUCCUUUCUUUGGCUACCCAACUCUUUACAUUUUCACAAAACUUGACUAGAGAAAAAUUAUUUUUUUUUUGGGGUUUUUAGAGAUAAAAGAAUCUUAGUUUUUUGGGUGCAAAUUUCCUAUUUGAUAACAGACUUAUACCCAUUUAUGUUGUGUGAAAUAUUUUCAAGAGCACCCCUUCCAAUUCCAAAGUAUGUGUUUUUGAAUAAAUUCCGAUCUCCAUGAUACCCUUUUGAACAAAGAAAUAUUAUAGAAUUAUGCCUGUGCUAAAAAUUACUCUUGUGAAUCAACAAUAUGUUGCUUCAUUGUUGUGUGUUGGUACCUCAUAUUGUACUGAUUUUAUUACAUUUUCGUUAUUUAAGUGUACUUGUAUACUAUACUUGUUAUAUACUAUACUAUAGAAUUUACAUUUUCAUUAGUGUUGCGAUCAUUUUGCAUCCUACACAUUAUAUACUAUACUUGUUAUAUACAUUUUCUUUCCGGUAUUUCAUUUGAAAUUUCCAUUUUUUUUUUCCUUUACUAAUUUCCAUGAUAUUUUCAAAUUGAUGAAAAUUGAAAUUGUUAUCAAAAUAUCUAUGGAUUUGUCCACUUGAUAGUAUUUUAUUCUUUGCACACAGGUACUUUGCAACCCUCCAGAAGGAACUUGAACCCUACGACUGUGUCCUUUACGAGAUGGUGGCCAGUAGAGAGAGUUUAGAGAAUAGAAGAAACCCUGCUGCUACAAAAAGGCUCAAAAGUUCACGUUCACGAGGCUUUAACAUUCUUGGAUGCAUUCAACGACAGAUGGCUCGAGUUCUUAUGCUUGAUUUUCAAUUAGAUUGUCUUGAUUACCAAGCUGAGAAUUGGUACCAUGCUGAUCUUGACUAUGAGACUUUCAAGUUACUUCAGGUGCGAGUCUUUGACUUCUCUGGAUAAAAUUGAUGCGAUGCACUAGUAUUUUGACUGUGUAAACCAUUAAAAUGCUUGAGAUUUUUGUAGAAGUUACUUGACAGUCUUCGCUCAAUAUUUAACUCAAAUUCUAGAGAUGCAUCAAGAACAUGGAAAAAAAUUUAAGCAUGCCUAUAUCCAGUGACAAAUAUUUGAGUUCAGCCAUUUUUCAAUUUUUUUUUGGUUAUUUAUUUAUUGCUGUUUCUUUUUCUUUAUGAGGUCACAGAUACUUCUUUGUUAAUCUAAAAAAUUUUAAGAUUGACCCGAUUAGAGUCUGCUUCUUGAUAGGUUAUAGUCCAUAUUCAUACAAUUCUUAAUGCUUGGUCCAUUGUGUACUUUUAUCUUACCACCAAACUUUGAAUU
rnacentral:lncRNA from 1 species